CGGGGAAUCCAUGGAAGAUUCCUAUCCACAACAUAGCAGCAGAUUCUUGGUGGACAGUUCUCAUAUCCUUGGAAAUGUGUGAAAGAUUACCUACAGGAAAGUAACUUUUAUGAAGCAAGACGGACUUUUAUUUCUACCUUCCAGACAUGUUCAGAAGUUUCUCAGAUCAAGCCACAAGCAGUCAGGAGACCUGUCCAUCUGUCACCUCAUACUGCUCUGGUCCCAGGGAGCCUCAAAUCCAUUCAGUUCUUCCAAGUAACAGAACAUGUCCUUCACGUUCAGGUUCUGGAGUAUCAUCUUUGCUUCCAUCAGAUUCUUUCAAAUACCUCACUUGGUACAAUAUAGAACAGCACGAGAUUCAAGGUAGUCAGCUACAUUGUCCAAGAAUAAGAAAAGGACCCUCUGAAGAGUGGUUGCUUUCCAGACAGGUGGGAUGCACAUUGCCUCCAAAGAAAAGAGUACUUAAGAAAAACGAAUGGGAAACAUGGUUACAAGAAAACUGGGAAGAUUGCAAGAAACUGAACAUUUCAUUUCAGGAUCUGGGGGACCCUUACCAAGUUCAAAAUUUUAACAGGAUUCUUAGAAGACUGAUUCGAGUUGAAACCCUUUGGUUGGUGGAUAAUUCACUCAUUGAUUUAAGUGCCAUAAGAUUGCCAAGACCUUUUAAGUGUCAGAAGUCACAAAUAGAUGGACGCAGAGAUGAAAGAUAAGUGAAUCACAGAAGAGGAAAGAUGAAAGAUGUGUUAGAAGAGUCAGAGAUAUGAAAUAAAAAAACAAAAGUUAAACAGUGGGAACUAGUAAAAAGGAAUUAAGAAAAAGAAGGCAAGGAGUAAAACUAUCCAUUGCUGUUUUGAGAGAUCAACUAUAUCUCCAUGAUUUGAACAAGCAUAUCCAUAUUUUCUACUUUCAAGAACAUUCGAUAAAAGUUUCAUUCCCUGGUAUGGUAAGACAACCUCCUUCAUGUACAAAUGCCAAUCGUGGACCCCUCUGUUAAACAUGACAAAAACUGUUCUCUCAAUUAAAUUCUAUUUUGUUCUUUGUUCUUACCAUCUUCUAAAAAACAGGUUAUGUUCCUUGAAAAACUUAAAGGUCAUCCAAAAUGCUACAGAUCUUGAAAAAAGUGUUCAGCCUCUAGCAUCUUGGCCGAUCUUUAAAAGCUUUAACCAAAUUGUCUCCUAACAUUGUAUGGUUGUACAGUGCACAGGCAUAAGAACCUCAGUGUGGCUUGCUAGUAAUCACUGAAAAAGCUGUGCAUAAUAGUUUGCUUUUCAUUCAUGAGGUGUAGAGGCACAGGCUGGGGAAUUUCUAGAGUUUAGUGGUCAGCCAGCCUGGAUAAAUUGCAGAGCUCUUUGUGCAUGGAGAGACUCUUAUAAUGGUUUGAAUGAAACUAGCCUGCCCCCAUAGGCUCCUAAGAUGUGCUGUUGUUUUGAAAGGACUUGGGCAUGUGACCCUUUUGAAAUAACUGUGCCCUUGUUGGAGGAAGUGUCAUUGGGGGAAGCUUAAAGACUUCAGAAACUCAAGCCAGGCCCAAUGGUUCACAUUCAUUUCUUCAUGCCUUUACAUCCAGAUGUAGAACUCCCAACUAUCUCUCCAGUAUCCUAUCUGCCUGCAUGCUUUUACCUCUAAAUAUAAGCAAGCCCCAAUUAAAUGCUUUUUUUUUUAAUAAGAGUAGUCCUGGUCAUGGAGUUUCUUUGUAGCAAUAAAACCCCCUAACUAAGUCAACCUGUGAGAAAAGAAAGAAAGAAAGAGAGAGAGAGAGAGAGAGAGAGAGAGAGAGAGAAAGAAAACAAAGAAAAGAAAAAUGAAAAUUUAAAUAGUUACUUCUAGUACUCAUGCACAUCCACCUGCAUCUAUCUAUACAUGCAUAUGAACAUAUAUACAGACUGCACACACAUAUUUACAUACAUAUCUGUAUUAUCUUAUAAAAAAGAUAAAAUAGAAAUACUCUAUUCAGACCACAGAUAUUCUUUAAGAAUCAAUGACAACAUGAUGACCUGAAAAAUUACGCUUAUUCUAUAGCUUUCAAUUUUACAGCUAGGACCUGCCUUUUUGUCAAAUCUAUAAUUCUAAUCAAAGGGUUUACAACCUUUGGAUGUCAGGUUUUAGGUGUUUCCUUGGAAGCAGUUUAUGUUGUUUGGCUGUAGAAGACAAAAUAUUAAUGUCACCUUCAAAGGACUAACUAUCCCUUGCAUAAUUCUCCUCUCCUUGGUUGUAGGCAUGACAUAUUUGUCUUCAAAAGAGACAACUUGACCCUACCAAGUGAUUAUUUAAAUUUGGAUCUAAAAGUCAGUAGGAAAGAAGUCAGAGAUUUGAAGAGAGUGCAUUACCCUCUUCAGAGAUGGAAAGGCAGUAUGGAUAGCUUGUAAGAACUUAAGGUGAUCUCAAGGUGAGGACUAGUAAGGGACCUCAACAAAGAGACCUACCAAUAACUGAAAGUGCUAGAGAAUGGACUACUAAAGAGUACAGCCUUGCCAACACCUUGAUUUCAGCACUGGAAGAUCCUGAGAACAAAGCCUGUACUUCUUGUUAACAAAAUGGUAGGUCGUUACGUGAGUGUCAUUUAGCCUGGAAACUUUGUGGAAUUUGUUGUUGUUGUUGUUGUUUUUAAUAAAGAAAUAAAACUAAGAGGAUGUCCAGUACCUAACAUAUAUAUAAUACCACUAUUUAAUUCAGAAAACAAUGUAUUCUCUAUGAAUUUGAAAAUAAAAAGAGCAAGAAGGCUUUGGAAGAAAAAAAGAGGGGAAUUACAUAGUUAUAAUGUCAAAAAUUUAAAAUUCAAAAAUAUAACAAAAACAUUAUAAUCCUUUUAAAUAAAAUGACCAUAUAAAAUACUAAACAGUCUUUUGUAUAGUAAAUUCUUAAUUUAGCUUAAAACUCUCAUUACUACUCCUACUAUUACUGAGGUAAAGCAAACUUCCUAAAGGAAAGCAUUAUAUUCUAUAGCAAAGCUUUAGUUGUCACAGCUUAUUCACAAUAUCUUGGCAUAGCCAAAUGUAAAUAGUUAAAUUUUUUGUUUGGAAUGUCAUUCAUUUCAAUGGUGGUGACAUCUCCUAGUGAAAGAUAACAUCCCCAGUCCUUGAAAGUAUCCAUCACACCUACCUGUCAAGUUUGAUGAUGGGUAGAAGUUGAUAUAUACAGCAAGGACCACUCUUACAACUGUCCACUAAAUGUGGCAUUUAAAAUUUUAUGUACUAACUAUAAAACUGAAGUACCUCUACCAUCUAACAGAGCCCAACUGGCAUUCAUGUGAUAGACAAAUGAGACAACUUAGAAUACAGUCUCCUUAUAAGAUUGAAGAGUUAUGUCAACUCAUUCCAGCUCAGAUUGACACUGAGCAGUGAUGGACCUUAUAUUCUGAAUCUGACAGAUUUUGUGUACACUUAUGCAUAUGUGAAGCAGAACCCCACAUAGUCCUAGAUAGCAUUCAUCUCAAGCUAUAAGACAGGGGCUUUGACAUCCUGAUAAGACUAGCUUGACCUCCAUAACAGUGACUGAUAUUUCACAGUGUUACCAAAUUGCCAUAGAUCAUUUCUCAUUAUUGUCAAAUGAGGGCCUCGUUUACACCUUGGUCCUCAUUUUAAAAUACACUAGAGAAUAUUUAAAAAUACAGCAAUAUUUUGAUAUUUCAGAAGUUAGCAGUAAUGUACAUCACCACAAAGCAAAAGUCUGCAGAAGAUACACCAAGCACAAACAGAAACUUCCCUUUGUAGAAAGCCAUGGAGCAACAGCGAGAGAGAUAGAAAGAAACAAAGUACCUUGGACAUAAUCAGAAAACAAACAACACGAUUGUAGUUAUAAGUACUACUUGUACAUGAAUGUGAGUGAAGUAAGUUCUUUGAUAAAAACACAGAAUGUAUGAGAUGAGAAAAUAAGAUUUAUACAUUUUGACAUAGGAACUUACUCCAUUUUUCAUGACACACAGAAAGCGAUAGCAUGAAAAAUAUUUUAUGUAAAUGGAAACCAGCACAACAGGAGUAGUACCAUUUAUAGCAAAGAGCAUAUGGUUUAAGUUUUUUUAAAAAUAGAGCAAAGAACAAAUUAUGUGAUAGUGUGUCAAAUCAUAAGAGGUAUUAUCUGUAACCAUAUAUUUCCCUAUGUACCUAUAUGUAUAAACACUAGGAAUAUUAAAAUAGUAAAUAAAAAACUGUUAAGAUACCUGAAGAUAGAGAUUAUAACACAAUGACAGUUAAGUACUUUAUGUCCAGUUCCUAAUGAUAACAGAUCAUCUAAUCAGAGAAUUAGGAAGUAAAUUUGGGCUAAAAGAAAAUUUUAAUCCAAUAGACCUAACAAAAAUAAAGAUAAUAUUAUGUUAAACAACACCAUAUAGUUUCAACAAAAAGUAAAAUUAUAUUUUUUCUUGAUAAAGAUAUAUCUCUCAAUGUAAAGACUCACCAGAUUUCUGUCAAAACAAUAAACAAAGAAAAAUAGCAGAUUCAAAAUCAAUAUAAAAAGCAAAUCAUAUUUUAUACCAAGUUAUUCAUAGAACAGUUCAAGAAAAUAGUCUUAUUUAUAGUAGCUACAAGAAGUAACCUCCUUAGUCAUACAUUUCUCAAGAAGGUAAAAUGUCUGUACAGUUCACUCAAAAAUAGAUGGAAAUAGGAAACUUGGACUACAUAAAGAAAGUACAACACAGAAAGACAGAAAGACAAAUACUGAAUAUGUGGAAGCAAAACCAGAAACACAAAACCAUUAUUUUGGCCCAUGCUGGCCUCUGUCUCUUCAUAAAACAUACAAGGACAUAGAACUACUGAUCUUUCUGUCUCAGUCUUCAAAAGGCUGAGAUUAUAGAUAUGAACCCCCAGGUCAAGUUUAUGGAGUGAUGGGAAUCAAACCCAGGUCUUCACACAGGGUAGGCAAGAAUUCUACCAACUACAUCUCAAACCUCACAAAAGUUAAUCUCAAUGUGAUUUAUUGGUUGCUGGGGGCUUGGAAGGAUAUUAGAGUGUGAAGUUAAAGUAAUUUUGGAUGAUAAGUAACCGUAAAUUGUUAGGAAAGAGUUUUAAGAUAUAUUGUUUUACAAAGAAUUGAUACAAAUACAGUAUAUAAAAUUACUAAUUAUCUAAUGAGUAAAGGAAAUGUAAUUAAAGAGUCCGGAGUUAAAACAGUAAGGACAAAAAGCACUACUUAUCCUAGUUUGAUAUAUAUUAUACACACAUACAGAAAUAUCACAGCAUUCUGUGUAAGCACAUAAACUUCUAUGUGUUAGUCCAA